GAUAAUAUAGUUUAAGAGUAAAAUGAUGCUUUUGUAAAGCAUUGAUAGAGUGAUGUAUCUUAUUUUCA
rnacentral:tRNA from 1 species